GUGCGGUACUAGUGUAAAAAAUGUGGAAUAUCAGCUCUUUGGUGUGGUUCUUAUUGGAAAGUAUUGCGUUUCUCACUGUGUAAUGUUCCCCUUUAAGAAAGACAGUAAUAUCA